UACGUAGGUGGCAAGCGUUGUCCGGAUUUACUGGGCGUAAAGAGCGCGCAGGCGGUCGAGUAAGUCGAAUGUGAAAGCCCCCGGCUUAACUGGGGAGGGUCACGCGAUACUGAUCGACUCGAAGGCAGGAGAGGGUAGUGGAAUUCCCGGUGUAGUGGUGAAAUGCGUAGAUAUCGGGAGGAACACCAGUGGCGAAGGCGACUACCUGGCCUGUUCUUGACGCUGAGGCGCGAAAGCUAGGGGAGCAAACGGG
rnacentral:rRNA from 1 species